rnacentral:rRNA from 1 species
CCUACGGGUGGCAGCAGUGAGGAAUAUUGGUCAAUGGGCGCGAGCCUGAACCAGCCAAGUAGCGUGAAGGAUGACUGCCCUACGGUUUGUAAACUUCUUUUAUAAAGGAAUAAAGUGAGGCACGUGUGCCUUUUUGUAUGUACUUUAUGAAUAAGGAUCGGCUAAAUACGUGCCAGCAGCCGCGGUAAUACGGAGGAUCUGAGCGUUAUCCGGAUUUAUUGGGUUUAAAGGGAGCGUAGGUGGGAUAAUAAGUAGCUAGUGAAAUCUGGUGGCGCAACCAUUCAGACUAUAAGCGAAACUGUUAAGCUCGAGAACGUUAGGGGUAACUGGAAUUUUUGGUGUAGGAGUGAAAUCCGUAGAUAUUAGAAGGAACACCAAUAGCGUAGGCAGGUUGCUGGGACGGUUCUGACACUAAGGCACGAAAGCGUAGGGAGCAAACGGGAUUAGAUACCCCUGUAGUC